GACGAACGCUGGCGGCGUGCUUAACGCAUGCAAGUCGAACGAGACGAUUUAGAAGCUUGCUUUUAUUGAGUCGAGUGGCAAACGGGUGAGUAACGCGUAGACAACCUGCCGCAAAGAUGGGGACAACAGUCCGAAAGGACUGCUAAUACCGAAUGUUGUAUCUCCACCGCAUGGAAGAGAUAUUAAAGAUGGCCUCUACUUGUAAGCUAUCGCUUUGCGAUGGGUCUGCGUCUGAUUAGCUAGUUGGUGGGGCAACGGCUACCAAGGCGACGAUCGAGUAGCCGGUCUGAGAGGAUGAACGGCCACAUUGGAACUGAGACACGGUCCAGACUCCUACGGGAGCAGCAGUGGGAA
rnacentral:rRNA from 1 species